rnacentral:rRNA from 1 species
UACGUAGGGACCAAGCGUUGUUCGGAUUCACUGGGCGUAAAGGGUGCGCAGGCGGCCAAGUGUGUGAGGCGUGAAAGCCCGGGGCUUAACCCCGGAAUUGCACCUCAAACUACUUGGCUAGAGCAUUGGAGAGGGUAGCAGAAUUCACGGUGUAGCAGUGAAAUGCGUAGAUAUCGUGAGGAAUACCAGAGGCGAAGGCGGCUACCUGGACAAUUGCUGACGCUCAGGCACGAAAGCGUGGGGAGCAAAAGGG